GAUUGAAGUGAUGAUUUAUUUUACCCAAUAUUGUCUGUACUAUGGUAUGAUGAUCUAUAAUACAUGCACUACCAUCUGAUCAAUCUUUUACUCACUCAGUUUUUUCAUUAUUUCCUAAUUUUUUGUAAAUCCCAAAUUAAAAAUGCAUACGUUGCAGUCGAUGAUGCAAAUCUACAUUUUAAACUGAUGUUUUGCUGUGAUUAACUUAAAUUUAUCACCAUCUUUCGGCUGAGAUUGCAUUAGAAGGUGUUAUUUAUUUAAAAUGCCCUAUGGUAUCUGAUGCCUUGACCUAAUUAAUGUUUUAGGCAUCUCGUUAGACGGGCAGAUAGCGAUGAAAACAGGUUUGCGACACAGUUUGCUGCUACAUUUCAAAGCUUACUGUUACUUUUAUUACUGUUCACAUUUUUAGUAUUUUUAUGACAUUAAAUUUGUAAGGGCAGUGAUGAGAAAUUAGGAAAGUCAUGCACCACUCUGAUAUUCACUGUGAUUGAUAAACUUUCUCAUAACCCAUAUUUUUGUAUCUGAGCCC
rnacentral:lncRNA from 1 species